AGGGUUCGAUUCUGGCUCAGGAUGAACGCUGGCGGCGUGCUUAACACAUGCAAGUCGAACGGGAAUUACUUUAUUGAAACUUCGGUCGAUAUGAUUUAAUUCUAGUGGCGGACGGGUGAGUAACGCGUGGGUAACCUGCCUUAUACAGGGGGAUAACAGUCAGAAAUGACUGCUAAUACCGCAUAAGCGCACAGAGCUGCAUGGCUCGGUGUGAAAAACUCCGGUGGUAUAAGAUGGACCCGCGUUGGAUUAGCUAGUUGGUGAGGUAACGGCCCACCAAGGCGACGAUCCAUAGCCGGCCUGAGAGGGUGAACGGCCACAUUGGGACUGAGACACGGCCCAG
rnacentral:rRNA from 1 species